UUCUUUUAGUUUAAGUUUAAAGUAAAACCUGCCCACUGAGUAUUGAAGGGCCGCGGUAUUAUGACCGUGCUAAGGUAGCAUAAUCAUUAGUCCUCUAAUUAGGGAAUUGUAUGAAUGGUUUAACUCUUUGGAAUUUUAUUUUUAUAAAAUUUUGAAUUUUAGGUGCUGGUGAAAAUUCUAGCAGGUUUUAAUAAGACGAUAAGACCCUAUAGAGCUUAAUACUCAGAUUGUAUAUAAUUUUUGGGGGAAAAUUAUAUAUGAUCUGAGGUAUUUAGUUGGGGCAAUUUAAGAAUAAAAAAAACUUCUUUACUUUUUACCUUGAAUUUUAAAAUUUAAUAAGUUACCUUAGGGAUAACAGCGUUAUAAUUUUUGAGAGUUCUUAUCGACAAAAUUGUUUGCGACCUCGAUGUUGAAUUAAAAUAUCUUUAAGGGGCAGUAUUUUUAUGGGAUAGUCUGUUCGACUAAAAAUUUUUU
rnacentral:rRNA from 1 species